rnacentral:rRNA from 1 species
AAUUUUACACGGAAUAACUGUGGAAAUUCUAGAGCUAAUACGUGCAAAUAGCUCGCUUCCUUGCGGAGCGAGCGCAGUUAUUAGAUCAAAACCAAUCCGGCCUUCGGGUCGGUACAAUUGGUGAUUCUGAAUAACCGAAGCAGAGCGCAUGGUCUCGUACCGGCGCCAGAUCUUUCAAGUGUCUGACUUAUCAGCUUGUUGUUAGGUUACGUUCCUAACAAGGCUUCAACGGGUAACGGGGUAUCAGGGUCCGAUACCGGAGAGGGAGCCUGAGAAACGGCUACCACAUCCAAGGAAGGCAGCAGGCGCGCAAAUUACCCACUCCUAGCACAGGGAGGUAGUGACGAAAAAUAACGAUCCUAAAGGGAUUAGCUUCUCGUAAUCGGAAUGGGUACACUUUAAAUCCUUAACG